GACGAACGCUGGCGGCGUGCUUAACACAUGCAAGUCGAACGCUGAAGCCCAGCUUGCUGGGUGGAUGAGUGGCGAACGGGUGAGUAACACGUGAGUAACCUGCCCCCUUCUUUGGGAUAACGCCCGGAAACGGGUGCUAAUACUGGAUAUUCACUGGCCUUCGCAUGGGGGUUGGUGGAAAGGUUUUUUCUGGUGGGGGAUGGGCUCGCGGCCUAUCAGCUUGUUGGUGGGGUGAUGGCCUACCAAGGCUUUGACGGGUAGCCGGCCUGGGAGGGUGACCGGUCACAUUGGGACUGAGAUACGGCCCAGACUCCUACGGGAGGCAGCAGUGGGGAAUAUUGCACAAUGGGCGAAAGCCUGAUGCAGCGACGCCGCGUGAGGGAUGACGGCCUUCGGGUUGUAAACCUCUUUCGCUCAUGGUCAAGCCGCAGCUUUGGGUUGUGGUGAGGGUAGUGGGUAAAGAAGCGCCGGCUAACUACGUG
rnacentral:rRNA from 1 species